CAGUAGCCGCGGGAACACAGAGGGUGCAAGCGUUAAUCGGAGUUACUGGGCGUAAAGGGCGCGUAGGCGGUUAUAUAAGUGAGAUGUGAAAUCCCUGGGCUUAACCUAGGAACUGCAUCUUAUACUGUAUGGCUAGAGUAUUGUAGAGGGUAGUGGAAUUUCCGGUGUAGCGGUGAAAUGCGUAGAGAUCGGAAGGAACACCAGUGGCGAAGGCGGCUACCUGGACAAAUACUGACGCUGAGGCGCGAAAGCGUGGGGAGCAAACAGGAUUAGAUACCCGUGUAGUCCCUGUCUCUUAUAC
rnacentral:rRNA from 1 species